AUACGGAGGGUGCAAGCGUUAUCCGGAAUCAUUGGGUUUAAAGGGUCCGCAGGCGGAUUAAUAAGUCAGUGGUGAAAUCCUCUCGCUCAACGAGAGAGCUGCCAUUGAAACUGUUAGUCUUGAAUUCGGUCGAAGUAGGCGGAAUGUGUCAUGUAGCGGUGAAAUGCAUAGAUAUGACACAGAACACCGAUAGCGAAGGCAGCUUACUAGACCUGGAUUGACGCUCAUGGACGAAAGCGUGGGGAGCGAACAGGAUUAGAAACCCUAGCAGUCC
rnacentral:rRNA from 1 species